rnacentral:rRNA from 1 species
UACGUAGGGGGCUAGCGUUGUCCGGAAUCAUUGGGCGUAAAGAGCGUGUAGGCGGUCCGGUAAGUCCGCUGUGAAAGUCGGGGGCUCAACCCUCGAAUGCCGGUGGAUACUGUCGGGCUAGAGUGCGGAAGAGGCGAGUGGAAUUCCUGGUGUAGCGGUGCAAUGCGCAGAUAUCAGGAGGAACACCUAUUGCGAAGGCAGCUCGCUGGGACGUAACUGACGCUGAGACGCGAAAGCGUGGGGAGCAAACAGG